rnacentral:rRNA from 1 species
AACGAACGCUGGCGGCAUGCCUAACACAUGCAAGUCGAACGAACCCUUCGGGGUGAGUGGCGCACGGGUGCGUAACGCGUGGGAACCUGCCCUUAGGUUUGGAAUAACAGUGAGAAAUCGCUGCUAAUACCAAAUAAUGUCUUCGGACCAAAGAUUUAUCGCCUUUGGAUGGGCCCGCGUAGGAUUAGCUAGUUGGUGGGGUAAUGGCUCACCAAGGCGACGAUCCUUAGCUGGUCUUAGAGGAUGAUCAGCCACACUGGGACUGAGACACGGCCCAGACUCCUACGGGAGGCAGCAGUGGGGAAUAUUGGACAAUGGGCGAAAGCCUGAUCCAGCAAUGCCGCGUGAGUGAUGAAGGCCUUAGGGUUGUAAAGCUCUUUUACCAGGGAUGAUAAUGACAGUACCUGGAGAAUAAGCUCCGGCUAACUCCGUGCCAGCAGCCGCGGUAAAAC